UGAGGAAUAUUGGUCAAUGGGCGGGAGCCUGAACCAGCCAAGCCGCGUGAGGGAAGAAGGCGCUCAGCGUCGUAAACCUCUUUAGCCGGGGAACAAAGAGCUGCUCGGGAAGCAGCGUUGAGCGUACCCGGAGAAUAAGCAUCGGCUAACUCCGUGCCAGCAGCCGCGGUAAUACGGAGGAUGCGAGCGUUAUCCGGAUUUAUUGGGUUUAAAGGGUGCGCAGGCGGACGCGCAAGUCUGCGGUCAAAUUCCGGGGCUCAACCCCGGACCGCCGUGGAAACUGUGCGACUGGAGUGGGCGAGAGGCAUGCGGAAUGCGCGGUGUAGCGGUGAAAUGCUUAGAGAUCGCGCAGAACCUCGAUUGCGAAGGCAGCAUACCGGCGCCUUACUGACGCUCAUGCACGAAAGCGUGGGGAUCGAACAGGAUUAGAUACC
rnacentral:rRNA from 1 species